CAGGUGGUCAGGUAGAGAAUACCAAGGCGCUUGAGAGAACUCGGGUGAAGGAACUAGGCAAAAUGGUGCCGUAACUUCGGGAGAAGGCACGCUGGUGUGUAGGUGAAGUCCCUGCGGAUGGAGCUGAGACCAGUCGAAGAUACCAGCUGGCUGCAACUGUUUAUUAAAAACACAGCACUGUGCAAACACGAAAGUGGACGUAUACGGUGUGACGCCUGCCCGGUGCCGGAAGGUUAAUUGAUGGGGUUAUCCGUAAGGAGAAGCUCUUGAUCGAAGCCCCGGUAAACGGCGGCCGUAACUAUAACGGUCCUAAGGUAGCGAAAUUCCUUGUCGGGUAAGUUCCGACCUGCACGAAUGGCGUAAUGAUGGCCAGGCUGUCUCCACCCGAGACUCAGUGAAAUUGAACUCGCUGUGAAGAUGCAGUGUACCCGCGGCAAGACGGAAAGACCCCGUGAACCUUUACUAUAGCUUGACACUGAACAUUGAGCCUUGAUGUGUAGGAUAGGUGGGAGGCUUUGAAGCGUGGACGCCAGUCUGCGUGGAGCCAACCUUGAAAUACCACCCUUUAAUGUUUGAUGUUCUAACGUUGGCCCCUGACCGGGGUUGCGGACAGUGUCUGGUGGGUAGUUUGACUGGGGCGGUCUCCUCCCAAAGCGUAACGGAGGAGCACGAAGGUUAGCUAAUCCUGGUCGGACAUCAGGAGGUUAGUGCAAUGGCAUAAGCUAGCUUGACUGCGAGCGUGACGGCGCGAGCAGGUGCGAAAGCAGGUCAUAGUGAUCCGGUGGUUCUGAAUGGAAGGGCCAUCGCUCAACGGAUAAAAGGUACUCCGGGGAUAACAGGCUGAUACCGCCCAAGAGUUCAUAUCGACGGCGGUGUUUGGCACCUCGAUGUCGGCUCAUCACAUCCUGGGGCUGAAGUAGGUCCCAAGGGUAUGGCUGUUCGCCAUUUAAAGUGGUACGCGAGCUGGGUUUAGAACGUCGUGAGACAGUUCGGUCCCUAUCUGCCGUGGGCGCUGGAGAAUUGAGGGGGGCUGCUCCUAGUACGAGAGGACCGGAGUGGACGCAUCACUGGUGUUCGGGUUGUCAUGCCAAUGGCACUGCCCGGUAGCUAAAUGCGGAAGAGAUAAGUGCUGAAAGCAUCUAAGCACGAAACUUGCCCCGAGAUGAGUUCUCCCUGAGACUUUAAGUCUCCUGAAGGAACGUUAAAGACGAUGACGUUGAUAGGCCGGGUGUGUAAGCGCAGCGAUGCGUUGAGCUAACCGGUACUAAUGAACCGUGAGGCUUAACCUU
rnacentral:rRNA from 1 species